UACGUAGGGUGCAAGCGUUGUCCGGAAUUAUUGGGCGUAAAGAGCUCGUAGGCGGUCUGUCGCGUCGGCUGUGAAAACCCGGAGCUCAACUCCGGGCCUGCAGUCGAUACGGGCAAACUGGAGUACUGCAGGGGAGACUGGAAUUCCUGGUGUAGCGGUGAAAUGCGCAGAUAUCAGGAGGAACACCGGUGGCGAAGGCGGGUCUCUGGGGCAGUAACUGACGCUGGAGAAGCG
rnacentral:rRNA from 1 species